UUACGACCAUAUCACGUUGAAACACCGUUUCCCAUGCGAUCACCGAAGUUAAGCAACAUCUUGUCAGUACCUAGAUGGGUGACCGCUUUAGAAUACUAGGUGUUGUAAG